UGUGUCUUAUACUCCGAAAAAUACGGUAUGUGAAUGUGUAACUAUAAUUGUAUAUAGGGAACAAAAAAUAAAAAAAAAAACUUUAAAAAAAAAGAAAAGAGGAGAAAUAAGUCAGCUUUAAACUUCAGUGUGCCAGUGGCACCUGAUGAAAUUGAAUUCUGAAUGUUGGCCAGAAAUUUACACCCUAGAAUGGGGAAAUGGGAUUUCAGCUUGCAUGGAUCCAAUCGAUCCGAUCUGAAUCCAGGCCAGCCUGCCUUCCCAAACAUCCUGCCUGCCUCUCUUGUGUGCAACAGCCACCAAAAAGGCAAAGCUUUAACCCUCUCAGCUUGAGGCUCCAGCAGCCAAGGACAACGCACACAGUGGCAGAGGGUCAAAAGAGAUAGCAAGCAAUCAGGCAGAAGUGGGCGAAGGCUCUCUCUCCAGAGCAGUGGCUGCCUGCCUGAGCUGGGGACGACAAUGCACAGCACACAGGCACCAAUAUCCUCCCCUGCAGGAAAUCAUGUGUCUCCCGGUGGACUUCCUCUUGCUCUCUCUCUCUCGUUCAUGGCAAUGAAGUUGUCUUUAGAACAACAGCUCUACACAGUCUGCAGCCCAGGCUGUUGCUAUCCUCUUCAUAAGCUGCUGCGUAACAGAUCAGUGCUUGGACCACCAUAAUAAGAAAUAGAAGAGCAUAAAAGCACAGUAAGCUUUUAAAAACUUUAGGGAUGCUUUUAAUCUUUUAAUACAUUACAAUAUAUGCUGGA